rnacentral:rRNA from 1 species
CCUACGGGGGGCAGCAGUGGGGAAUAUUGCACAAUGGGGGAAACCCUGAUGCAGCAACGCCGCGUGAGUGAGGAAGUAUUUCGGUAUGUAAAGCUCUAUCAGCAGGGAAUAGAAAAGAAGGUACCUGAAAAAGAAGCCCCGGCUAACUACGUGCCAGCAGCCGCGGUAAUACGUAGGGGGCAAGCGUUAUCCGGAUUUACUGGGUGUAAAGGGAGCGUAGACGGAAAGGCAAGCCUGAUGUGAAAGCCCGCGGCCCAACCGCGGGACUGCAUUGGGAACUACCGGGCUGGAGUGCCGGAGAGGUAGGCGGAAUUCCUAGUGUAGCGGUGAAAUGCGUAGAUAUUAGGAGGAACACCAGUGGCGAAGGCGGCCUACUGGACGGUGACUGACGCUGAGGCUCGAAAGCGUGGGGAGCAAACAGGAUUAGAUACCCAGGUAGUC